UAUUCAGUCGGCCUGUCUAAAAAGUUCAAAUUCCGUAAACAAACAGAAGGAAAGUAGGAGAACACCUGGGGAAAAUACUGCUUGAGAUUGUCGAUUCCGAACCCGCUGGCAGCUGCACCUGUCAUUGCUGAAAUAAACGAUAAACAGACAUGGAGGUACGGCUACACCGGACCGUGGAGUUUGCCUCACAACUCACAAUGGCCUCAAAAUUUAUGUCUGGGAUCAAAAAGUUCUCUAACCUCUGAACUGUGCAGGUGCUCGACUGGUAACGAAUACCGCAGCAGAUGGGGGCGCUAAGAGAUUUAUUAGUUCGACCAAAAUAUUGAUGAAUAAAUUAAGAAAUGCAUUUAAGGUA
rnacentral:sRNA from 1 species